rnacentral:rRNA from 1 species
UACGAAGGGGGCUAGCGUUGCUCGGAAUUACUGGGCGUAAAGCGCACGUAGGCGGAUUGUUAAGUCGGGGGUGAAAUCCUGGAGCUCAACUCCAGAACUGCCUUCGAUACUGGCGAUCUCGAGUUCGGGAGAGGUGAGUGGAACUGCGAGUGUAGAGGUGAAAUUCGUAGAUAUUCGCAAGAACACCAGUGGCGAAGGCAGCCAUCUGGACCGACACUGACGCUGAGGCGCGAAAGCGUGGGGAGCAAACAGG